rnacentral:lncRNA from 1 species
GCAGCCACGGGCAUCUGUGCGGCUGGAAAGAGCAUCGUCAGAGUUUCAGAAUCCGACGAUCGGGCGGCCCACUUGGGCUAGUCGCCCUGUAUUCCCUGAAAAAGAGAAGUAGAAGGCGGAGAGCCCUCUAUCUGAUCACGAUUCCACCUCCGGAGGGUCCCUACCUCUGUUCUGCCAGAAGAUCCUCGAGAUUCAUGAUCGAGAGGAUCUCUUGGAUCAAAAGUUUCAUGAGAUGAACCAGC